AUCCCCUCCUCUCCCCCGAUCCACUUUCCCCCUCUUGUCCCACAGCCGCCACCCCCAACCCUCUCGCUCCCCCUCUGGAUCCCUUUCGUGCCGCCCCCAAAUCUCCUCUCCUCUCAUCUCCGCUCCCGAAUCAAAUCCCCCAUCACCUCCGCCACCCCCACCUACCCCCACCGUCGGCGUGAGCCGCGAGCACGGGAGCAUGAGCGGAGCGAUGGCCGGCGCGGGAUCCCGUCGGGCGACAGCGGGGGGAGGGAGGGCGACUAGGACUGCGGCGGGUGCGGCAACCGCAACUACGCUUUCUGCUCCCUGUGCAACCGCUGCAAGCAGCCGCGCCUCCUCGUCGACCCCAACACCCCGCGCGACUCCAAGUGGCUCCCCCGCGCCGGUGACUCGAUCUGCAACGAUGCAGAUCUCAUCUCUUCUUGUUCUGCGCCGGCCAGACCACGACCAUGGCAAGCGGAAGGAUGCACGACGGGCUGGACAACAAGGUGGAGAUCCUGGACACACGGAGGGGCUACCAAACCGGUGCUGCAGCAAGAACGACUCCGCAGCCCAUACAGGAGGUGGACUGCAUACAGUGCCUUGUUACCACCAUUCUAUCCUGCUUUGCAUUCGCAUUUUCAUUUCUGUCUUUUUGCCACCAUAUCGCAUCUUUAAAACUGCUAAGAGAUUCAAACUAAGAGGAAGUCGUGUUCAGUUUCAGUUGGCACUAUGAUAUCAAGUUUCAUCCUGUAUUGUUGGUGUUGGUUUGAUCAAAUAAACAGGGGAUUUAUUUGCAGUGUCGUUCUGAUGUGCCAGCUCAUACAACAUGCAUUAAGUAUACAAUAUCUUCCUAUUUGAAUUGAACUAGAAGUUGAAUUACUAUUACGUCUCACGCGUGCCUCGGCUGUCAUUUACUCUAUAGAACUAUUAUUAAUUGGCCCUGAUCUAAAGCAAUGUUUGAAAUGAGCAUGGUAACUAAUAUCCACACUGCUAAUUUAUCUGAACAUGGUUGAAAUGAGCGCUGCAAAUUUUGAUGUCUAAAAUCAAUUUUUACCUCAAGUCAUUAAGUAAUUAUUUUCAUUACAUCACAGUUAGCUGAGAAUAUUGACUUGAAUAUUUUAUGUAUGCCCUGAUGCAUGUACACAUACGGUUGAGCAAAUUCCGAGUUGCAGUGGAACAACCUGGAGUUAGAUAGGUUCAAUUCUUCUUGUGCAGACCUGCCCCCUCCUGCUCCGGGUUUUCACCAAGGUGCUCUGCUCUUGUGCACGAUGACCGGCGUGACGGCGGCUAUGUAUGGCAGCGACCACAAGCUCAUCGAUGAGCGGCUCCCUCUCCUAUCCCUAGUCCUCUUUUCUAAGAUGUAGUGUUCUAUGCAGAAGAUCUAUUUGCUAGUACUUGGGCUCACUGCUGUUUAUAUUUGAUUAUUCUAUUAUUAUGUAUACUGAAAAUGCUAUAACGAAUUUACUGCUCAUAUUCCUGUACAAAAGCCCUCGUUCGAAUUAAUGACAUGCUUCAUUUCUAAACAAACAGGGAAGUUGAAGAUCUCGCUAGGAGGCUCAAUUCUGUUUGGCCUGAAAGAAUGCAUUUGGGUCAAGAAAGAAGAAUUGAGUCGCAACUGAUUGGUGAUGGUACGAUGUGGUGGUUAUCUUUUUUCGUUGCUGGAACCUGGAUGUCAUAUGUUAUGUGAUUUGAGCCAAAUGGCAUAUUGUAAUCUUUUUAUUGCUGGUUUUUACGUACGAUGUCAUGAAGAUGUACGUUUGAAAUGUUGCUUUGAUAGCAAAAUUGUAUUCCUGUGUACAUGCUGCUUUGACAGCAAUAUUAUGAAAAUUUCUCAACAAUAUA